UAUUUUUAAAAAGUUGUAUUGGAAAAUGGGUAUUUUUGAAAUUUCCCCAUUAAAGGUUUCAAUAUAAAAAUAUUUUAAUCUUUUCAAACAUUUAAAAGUUAUAAUAUUUUGAAUAUUUUUAAAAGUUUUUUUUUUUUUUUUGGCAACAACUUACUAACAAAUUGGCUCAAACGAGCCAAUCAGAGGGAACAUUUUUUACAUACUUGACAUGAAGCGGAAUGGUACGAAAUUUGCGUGCCAAUAAAUCCGCUUUUACAUUUGCAUUUCUUGGAAUAAGAGAUAAAGAGAAAGAAGAGAAUUCUUCCCUGUCGAUAUGGAUAUCAUCAAGGUAUACUGAGAAAGCCGGCCAGUCGGAAGGAGAAGACACC
rnacentral:lncRNA from 1 species